rnacentral:rRNA from 1 species
UGAACGAGGAAUGCCUAGUAUGCGCAAGUCACCAGCUUGUGCAGAUUACGUCCUGCCUUUGUACACACCGCCCGUCGCUCCUACCGAUCGAGUGAUCCGGUG